AUUUUACAGUUUUACCCUAAACUCCCAAACUUUUUUACUUUUUCCUCAAAACUUUUACUCCUUCCCACUUUUCCCCCAAAACUUUUACUCUCCUCCCCUCCCAACCCCCAAUCUACCCAAAAUCCAUUUCCCACCAAAAUUUUACUCUUCCAUUAAUUUUUUUUCAAAAUUUUACUCUCAAAAACCCUCAAAACUUUUUAUUUUCCCCCAAAAUUUUUACUCCCUCCCACUUUUCCCCUAAAACUUUUAUUCUCUUCCCAUCCCACCUCCCAUCUACCCCAAACCCUCCCCCCUCCAAUUUUUUUUUUUAAUAUUUUCCCUCCAAAA
rnacentral:lncRNA from 1 species